AGCCAAACUCCCUUCAUUCCAACUUCCACCAAAACCACUUCUCUGGAUCCAUCCCUGGAGUUGACACAACAGGGAUCUUCAGCCCCAGAAAGCCCUUGAGACGUUCUCCUUGAAGCUCCCCUAGGUGGGAGUAGAAGUUCAUCUCCUGACACUCCACGUUUUAUUCAUGAGUCCUGAGUUAUGACACAGAGGACACAGUUGUGCUCCCCUUACUAUGGACUAGCAGAUAAAGCACCUUAACCACUCAGCCACCAUGCAAACCCUUCUUAUAUUUGAUUCAAUAUACUUUUCCGCAAGCAAAAUAAAAGUUCUGACCAAG
rnacentral:lncRNA from 1 species